rnacentral:SRP_RNA from 1 species
GCCGGGUGCGGUGGUGUGUGCCUGUAGUCCCAGCUACUUGGGAGGCUGAGGCUGGAGGAUCGUUUGAGUCCAGGAGUUUUGGGCUGUAAUGUGCUAUGCCGAUCGGGUGUCUGCACUAAGUUUGGCAUCAAUAUGGUGGCCUCCUGGGAGUGAGGGACCACCAGGUUGCCUAAGCAGAGGCGAACGGACCCAGGUUGGAAACAGAGCAGGUCAAAACUCCAUGCUGAUAAGUAGCGGGAUGGUAUCUGUGAAUAGCCACUGCACUCCAGCCUGGGCAACAUAGCAAGACCUCGUCUCU